UAAUGCGAGCACCCUUGGAAUGACUCUUUUGGAAUUUUGGAGUUCGAGAAUCUAGAAAGUGUGAGUCAACGUGUUCAAAGUAUGAAGGAGAGCUUCUCGCGGAGUUGUUACUUUGUGCCGGUUUGAACUUUUUAGGGGGCACCCUUAGUUAUAACCGGUUCCGAUUAUGUGUCCUUGAUUUGUGAAAAUCCAAUGUCAUUUGGUCCAUUCACAUUCUGUAGUUCAAUGCUUUGAUCUUUCCUAUGAUUUGGUAUUAAUAUUUCGAUGUAUAGUAACAAUAUUUCUAUGUAUAAUAAUAAUUAUGCCGCUUCUUCCUUACAUUGUUGACUUUUUGGUUUGCGAAGACCUGGAUUUCUGCCACUACCUCAGCCACCAAGCCUGUGUUGACUUUUUGGUUUGCAAAGACCAGGAUUUCUACUGCACUGACUUCUGCUCAAAUCACAACCAUUCACUUGUAGUUUUUCCUUCAUAAAAUUAUUUCUUUUCAAAAAACUUUUAGUAAACUUUCAGCCGUUGGAUUAGCAGCAUGAGGGACCGCUGCACACAUAUGCAGGAGGUGAUCUAUUUCCCAAAAACAGUCUUUCAAAGUUCACUCAUACAUUUCUGGCUGCUGCAACACAAGUGAGUUCAAAUUUAAUUUCAUCUGAUCUUUUUCAUAGUUCAUCUGCUUAACAUAACUAUCUUCCAUAAUUUUAUGACUUUACAGCGACGAUUGUGUAUAACUUUAUAUGUUUCAUUUUAUUAAAGUAUACGAAGUUGAAACUAUUCUGAGUUUAUUAAGGCAUGGCUGAAUAUUUGGCUACGUUGAUGUUAGACGAGGUUAAUGGAAUAAUAGAUGUAUUUCGGGCUGGAAGUGUCUUUGACAAUGUCGUAAGAGAUAAGAAUAAGCUGGUUGGAAAUCGAGAUCUUGUGCAGCAAAAAGUUGAAACUACUGAUCUUAAAACUGAUAAGGUGAAUGAUGUUGUGAUUGAAUGGCUAAAACAAAGUAACAUACUGAUACAAGAGGUGGAGAAUCCCAAAAUAAAACCAAGACCAACAUCAUGGCGCGAAUAUAGGGAAAUGAGGAAUGAACAGGCGAUUAUAUAUUUCAAUGAGUUGCUGACAAAAAUAACUGCACUGAAUAUGGAAUGUGAGUUUGACCAAGUUUCAACUCGAAUUCCAACUUUAGAGAACUUUUCUAAGGGAAAUAUUAUGUGUUUUAACUCUACAGAUGAGGCUUCAGAUGAACUUUUCCGAGCACUGCAAGAUGAUAGUUGCUUUAUAGUUGGAUUGUACGGUAGGCGCGGUUCUGGUAAAACUGCAUUGGUGAAAGCAAUGAGUGAGAAAGUUAAAUAUUUAAACAUUUUCUCAGAGGUUUUAUUUGCUACUGCAACCCAAAACACGAAUAUCAGAACAAUGCAAGAUGAAAUUGCGGAUUGGUUGAAUAUGAAGUUUGAUAGGAACAGUGAAACUGGAAGGGCGAGAAAAAUAUUCUCCACAAUAGAAAGUAUGGAGCAUCCAAUUCUUGUGAUUUUUGAUGAUGUUCGGGAAAAAUUUGAUCCGGAGGAUAUAGGCAUUCCUUGUAAUAGUAAACGAUGUAAGGUCCUUUUGACCACACGUCGCCAACAAGAUUGUGACAUGAUGGAGUGUCAAAGGAAGAUUCAUCUAGGUCCUUUAUCUACCGAGGAAGCUUGGACUUUGUUUCAAAAACAUUCAGGUGUUUGUGAAGAUAAUUCUUCCUCCUCAAUUGACUUAUUGAAUGUGGCACGAGAAGUUGCUUUUGAAUGUGAAGGGUUACCUGGUAUAAUAAAAGAUGUGGGAUCUUCUUUAAAAAGUAAACCAAUUGAGGAAUGGAAAGCAUCUCUAGAAAUUAUGAGACAUUCAAUGGCUCAAUGGCAGAUGUUCCUCAGUUUUAGAGGGGGAGAUACUCGCUUUUCUUUUACAGGUUUUCUUUAUCAGGCUUUAUGCCAAGCGGGAUUCAAGACCUUCAUGGAUGACGGAGGACUGCACACUGGUGAUAAAAUUUCACCCUGUCUUCUAAAUGCAAUCGAAGCAUCAAGGCUUUCAAUUGUUGUUUUAUCUGAGAACUAUGCAAGUUCCUCAUGGUGUCUUGAUGAACUUGUCAAGAUUCUUGAAUGUAUGAAAAUGAAAAAUCAACUAGUCUGGCCAAUCUUUUACAACGUCGAGCCAUCAGACAUAAGGUAUUUGAGAAAAUGUUACGGCAAAGACAUGGCUCAACAUGAAAGUGUAUUUGGAACAGACUCCGAGAGAGUACAGAAAUGGAAGUCGGCUUUGUUUGAAGUGUCUAACUUGUCUGGAAAGACUUAUAAAACCGGGUACGAGUAUGAAUUUAUCCAAAAGAUUCUGGAAGAUGCGAAUCAUAUUAAAAGUCGUCUGCAAAUACGAGGCGUAUAAAUAUGAGUAAGGCCAAUUAGGAAAUAGUAAAAACAAGUACAAAAAGAAUUACUUCGGAGAAAUAAGUAAAGCAGCUGCCAGUAGAGAGGAGGAAUGGUCUUCCAAUUCUUCCCGCUGUUUUUGUCAAUCAUUUCUUCCAUCUAUGUAAGGUUCAAAGAACUGUUUGAUCAAGUAACACAUGUCCACUGUGAUGACUAAAUAUAAAUGUUUUGCUUCUAUAAAAAAAACUUCAAACAAACUCACAAAUACCAACUUCAACACCCACCCUCACGCCUAGCAUGGGCAUGGGCCAAACGCCCACAUUGUAGUCCUUAACCCGGCUCUGAUACCAUGUUAAAUAUGCUUGGAUCUCAACCCCAAAAGCUAGCUCAAGAGGUGAGGUUGUCCUCACAUAUUUAUACACCCAACAGUCCGAGAACCUAAGCAAUGUGAGACUUCAAACAAACUCUCAAAUACCAACUUUAACAAGAUAGAUAUUAAAGUUGCUGUGAUGUAUUUCAAGUUCUUUUAAAGUUGGUAAGCAAACUGUUGAGGGACCCUUUCAAGCAUUUUAUGAAAGAAAGCAUUGUUUCUUCCAUGAUUCGUAACCGUCGCCUUUCUUGUUCAGCUUCCAGUUUCAGCUCUAUUAGUCUUUCUCUUUCCCUCUCAGAUUCUAAGUUUGUUUCCAACUCGCUCACCCUUUCCCAUAUCUGAGGGUCACUAACACCACUGCCAAUAGCAGCUGGAAAAGUACUAGUUGAUCCCGAUCCUAAUCCUUUUUCCCAAUCACCCCAAUUGUUGUGAAUGUAUGAAGGAAGAUGGAUACUAAUCCUUUUUAGCCAACAGUGUUAUUGUCAUGUUGGUGAUGUUUUCAUAAUAUUACACAAAACACUAGUACCAUUGUUUUGCAGCUUGCAGUUUGAAAAUACCUUCUACCAUAGAAUUUUAAAUGGCAAGACAAUACAAAAUUAGGACUGGUUCUUCUGCUUAUCAGGGAGUACUACUCUCUCCUGCCUUUAAAUUUACAAUCAGUAAGUUUUAGAUCACCGGAAUUAUUAGUUAAUAUACAGCCCUUAAGGAAAGUAAAAUAUUUUCCUAUGAACCUCAAAAGUUUUCUCAGGACUCAAUAAUAUAUUUAUAUUAUUAAUGAUGACAUCAAAGUUUUUUUAUGCAAUCUGGAAAUGGGACCUUUCUGCUUAUCUGAACUGAUCAGAGUCCUGUAUAUAAGGUUGGUUGACAAGUGAGGAGAUUCUCUGUAUUCUAUCUCUUUCAAAUUUGGUAACCUUGGAUGAAUGAAGGUGUAAUGGUUAAAAGGGAUAACAUGACAAUAGAAUUUAAUAAACCAGCAUUCUUUGGAUAGGACAGCAAAACCAAAAGUUGAUUAUUAAGCAUCACGUGAAAAGGGCUGUAAAAAAAAACUUGUCUUGAAGUACAGUCAACAAAUGAAAUCAUGUUUUUAUAAUGAAACUUGUCUUGUAAAAAAAAACUUGUCUUGAAGUAUCAUACCAAUUUAUAGAUAUGUGAAGAAAACCGAGUUCUAAUACAGAAAUAUGUGUCUUGCAAAUUCCAUCAUGUAAAAUCUCUUUCUUUCCUGUUCUUUUCAAGCAUUGGUUUCUACAUGUUAACAAUCAACUCAUUUUAAAUCAUCACGCAGCUGGAUUGUCCCCUCUCGGCCGAGGUUACUGAAAUCUUCAAAGUUCAAGCUUGAUGCUUGCAAUGUCUCUUGGUUGGUUGCUGUUAAUAUUUGGAUUUCAGCAACUUCUUCAAAAUGUCCAACUUCAAUCAAAAGAAGAAAUCAAGGGCCUCCUCAACUAGGGAGGAGUUUGCUGAGUCUCUCAUCUUUACACCGCCUUUGAUCUCCAACCAUAGACUCAAACAUAUCCAAAAGAUUAUCCAAACCCUUGUAAUCCUCCCCAAUUGCCUUCAAAGCAAACACAAUGCUCUCAAUGGUCGACAACUAACCAGCUUUAGGCUGAUUCCUCACAUCACCAUAUAAACUCAUCUCAUUCACUUCCAACUUCAAAUGCGGCAAUACAUUCAGCCAAGGAUUUUCACUAUAAAUCCUUUUAGCCUUAGCCCAAGUUCCAUCAAGAACAAUCAAGUUCUUCACCUCAAGACCAACAUCAUCCAAGUGACUAACACUAACAGCAUUAUCAGAAGGAAAAAGUAGCACUGAUCCAGAACAAACCUCAAGCUCAAAUUCCAUCAAGGUAUCUUGGCCGAGAUUCUUGAUUUUGUAAUGGAGAAAGGGCUUAUCCAAGCUGAUGGAGAAAUAUGGCAAGUUAGACAGCAUGCUAUACUACCUCAGCCAUUAUACAAAUCCAAAUCCAAGUUGACUUUUUGGUUUGCAAAUUCACCUGUAGUUUUUCUCUCUCAUAACAUUAUUUAUUUUCUAAAAAAUAUUUUGUAAACUUUCAGCCGUUGAAUUAGCAGCAUGAGGAACCGCUGCACAUAUCUGCAGGAGGUGAUCUACUUCCCAAAAACAGUCUUUCAAAGUUGACUUAUACAUUUCUGGCUCCUGCAACACAACGACGAGUGUGUAUAACUUUAUAUGUUUCAUU